CAGUCGCCGCGGUAAUACGAAGGGUGCAAGCGUUAAUCGGAAUUACUGGGCGUAAAGCGUGCGUAGGCGGUUUGUUAAGUCUGUUGUGAAAUCCCCGGGCUCAACCUGGGAAUGGCAAUGGAUACUGGCAAGCUAGAGUGUGUCAGAGGAUGGUGGAAUUCCCGGUGUAGCGGUGAAAUGCGUAGAGAUCGGGAGGAACAUCAGUGGCGAAGGCGGCCAUCUGGGACAACACUGACGCUUAGGCACGAAAGCGUGGGGAGCAAACAGGAUUAGAUACCCCCGUAGUCCCUGUCUCUUAUAC
rnacentral:rRNA from 1 species